GCUUUGAUAGCUCAGUUGGGGAGAGCGUCAGACUGAAGAUCUGAAGGUCCCUGGUUCGAUCCCGGGUCAAAGCA
rnacentral:tRNA from 1 species